UUUUGACACUUAUGUUUCUUUGAAUAUUGAAUCUGGGAAAACUGAUGUUACAUCAGUUUUCCCAGAUUCAAUAUUCAAAGAAACAUUUAAAAAUGUGUA
rnacentral:sRNA from 1 species